CUACGGGAGGCAGCAGUGGGGAAUAUUGCACAAUGGAGGAAACUCUGAUGCAGCAACGCCGCGUGGAGGAUGACGCAUUUCGGUGUGUAAACUCCUUUUAUAUGUCAAGAAAAUGACGGUAGCAUAUGAAUAAGCACCGGCUAACUCCGUGCCAGCAGCCGCGGUAAUACGGAGGGUGCAAGCGUUACUCGGAAUCACUGGGCGUAAAGGACGCGUAGGCGGGAUAUCAAGUCAGGUGUGAAAUCCUACAGCUUAACUGUAGAACUGCACUUGAAACUUCUAAUCUAGAGUAUGGGAGGGGGAGAUGGAAUUAGUGGUGUAGGGGUAAAAUCCGUAGAUAUCACUAGGAAUACCUAAAGCGAAGGCGAUCUCCUGGAACAUUACUGACGCUAAGGCGUGAAAGCGUGGGGAGCAAACAGGAUUAGAUACCCGCGUAGUC
rnacentral:rRNA from 1 species